AAAAAUAUUAUAAAAAAUAUUGUUAUGGCCAAAACCAGUGCUUCAGUUGUUUUUGUUGUUCUUGUUGUAGCAUUAUUUCUGAAUGGCUAUAAUGCUGGUGAGAGUGUAGAAAGAGAUAAUCAACCUGAGAAAGGUGAAGACGUAGCUAUUUGCUUUUACGGAGUAUGUCCUACUUUAGACUGUGCCUCAUUUUGUCAGGCAAGAGCCUUUUCUGACGGCAGUUGUCGAACGCAAGUAAUGUGUUGCUGCUAUCGAUGAGUUUGGGAGAUCUAUGUUUGAUAACUGUACAAGUGUAUCAACAAAAUAGUCUUUAAGGUUCUUAUUAAAAUAAGUUGGAAAAACACUAUUGUAAGCUCAAUUACGAUGUAAAACACCAUUGCACUUAUUCAGAUGAUGUUAUAUAUAUGAUUAGACUAAAAUAAUGUUGACGGUUGUGUAAUAA